AUGCCACCUGGCCCUCGGGAAGUUUAAAAGCUCCCUCAUGUUCUCAUGUGAGGUGAAAUUCUGAAGCCAUCAUCCUUGAAGGAGAUAUAGUGCCCUAGUGAUCUCCAGACUUAACUUCCAAGAGAAGAGAAAUUACCUGGACAGAGGAGCAAGAUAGUGGAACCAUGAGAGAACAAUCAGGAGCAGCAGUGUGGCUACCUCAUCAACUCCAAGGCAUAAAUGAACUACUCCAGGUAAGCCACCUAAAACAGGGCUUGGUCCCCAGUAAAUCUCCGUAACAUUUGUCUAC
rnacentral:lncRNA from 1 species